rnacentral:tRNA from 1 species
ACUUAAAUAGCUUAUUAAUUAGAGCAUAAUAUUGAAGAUAUUAAGGAGAUUAUUUAUCUUUAAGUA